GAUGAAGAACGCAGCGAAAUGCGAUAAGUAGUGUGAAUUGCAGAAUUCAGUGAAUCAUCGAAUCUUUGAACGCACAUUGCGCCCCUUGGUAUCCCGAGGGGCAUGCCUGUUCGAGCGUCAUUUCACCACUCAAGCCUGGCUUGGUGUUGGGCGACGUCCCCUUUGGGGACGCGCCUCGAAACGCUCGGCGGCGUGGCACCGGCUUUAAGCGUAGCAGAAUCUUUCGCUUUGGAAGUCGGGGCCCCGUCUGCCGGAAGACCUACUCGCAAGGUUGACCUCGGAUCAGGCAGGGAUACCCGCUGAACUUAAGCAUAUCAAUAAGCGGUGGA
rnacentral:misc_RNA from 1 species